rnacentral:lncRNA from 1 species
AUGUCAGGCUCCAGAUAUACUCACUCAUUCAGUCAUCAUGACAACACCAGUGUGCCCAUUGUCCAGGCAGAAAGGUAUACAAACUUGCCCACAGACCCACAGCUAGCAAGUGGCAGCAUCAAAAUGAAGACAAGAGAUCUGGUUAAUCCUUCAAGUCACUUGGUGAAUGUGGUCACCAUUCAUCUUGGCACUCUAGCUGGAACCUUCAGGAUUUCCCCCUUCCUGCUCUCUCUUAUUACCACCACUAAACGGGCCAAGUCUCCCGAGUGACUUCUCUUCCUUAUUCCUCUCCAUUCUCACAUUCUCACCUUGGCCCAAGUCCAAAUCGGCUUUUUUUUUUUUUUCUUUUGGUUUUUUAUUGAGGUGAAAUUUACACAAAAUCCAAUUAGCCAUUUUUAAAGUGUACUCUUCAGUGGCAUUUAGUACAUUCACAGUGUUGUACAAUCAUUACCGUGAUCUAGUUCUCAAACAGUUUUACCAUCCCAAGAGGAAAAUCAGUAGUACGACUAAGUAAUCUCUCCUCAUUCUCCCUCUCUUCCUCCAACCCCUGGAAACCACUCAUGCAUUUUCUGUCUCUAUGGAUUUACCUAUUCUGGAUGUUUCCUGUAAAUGGAACUGUAUAAUAUGUGACCUAAUGUUUUCAGGAUUCACCCAUGCUGUAGCAUGAAUCAGUGCUUCAUUCCCUUUAAUGGCCAAACAAUGUUCCAUUGUACAGCUAGACCACAUUUUGUUUAUUCAUUCAUCUGUUCAUGGACAUCCAGGUUGCUUUCCCUGUCUGGGCAUUGUAAACAGAGCAGCAAUGAACAGUCACGUACAAGAAUGUUUUUGAAUAUCUGCUUUCAAUUCUUUUGAAACAUAUACCUCGGAGUAGAAUUGCAUCUUUUAAGCAUCUCCCUAGGAGUGGGAUUACUGAGUCAUGUGGUAACUCUAAGGUUUACCUCUUUGAUGAGCCCCUCAUAGGCAUUUGAAUGGACUCAUGUGCUAGGAUAGUCUCCCUACUUGCAGCCUCCCGUUCUCUAACCCCUUCUGCUCAUUGCCAGCAGAAGUUUAUUGAUGCCAUUCCAUGGCUUAUAAACCUUUAAGAGUUACCCAGUAUGUGAAAUGAUAAUCCUAAAGAUUUAUGCAUAGGUCUUAUCUCUUGUAUAGCAUGUAAAUUCCAUGAGAGCCAAAAUCAUAUUGUGUUUACAUUGCCGAUCAUAAUGCUUUGAACAUAGUGAACAUUUAAAGGAUGCUUGAUGAAGGAAGGACUGAAUGAGGGAAUAAAGCCAGAGGGAAUGAAUAUAGUCACAUCUGAGAUGUGAGCAUCUCUUUCGCCUGAUUUAGGACUCCAGCUGAACGUGAAUUAAUGGCUUGAUCAUAGAGACUGGUAUCUGGAGGCAAAUCCCAAAAGCAAAGCAUACUUGACUAGCUGUGUGACUUUGGGCAAGUGACUUAAACUUGUGCCUCAGCUGCCUCAUCUGCAAAAUGCAAAUAAUCUAGGUUUGCUUUGAGUAUAAAAAGGAACUAAUAUUUAUGAUGCUCUUAUAAUGCCUGGCAUAUGGUCAGUAGUUUAGAGAGCUUGUUAAAUAAAAUAAGUAAAAUAAAUGAGCUAACACUAUAAGCAAAUGAAACUGCUUAAGACAGUAGGAUGAACACAGGGUUCUGUGAGCUGCAAAGUAAAGGCAGUUAGGCCCACAGACCAAACUGUCUACCUGAAUUCACAUGCAAUAUAGGUGGUGUUGAUUUACUAUGCGUUAUUCUCUCACUUGAUUAGAUUUGGAGGUCUGCAAUCAUCAUGGGGAAGCACUUUUGGUCUCAUCCUGGUAUUCCACCUCACCCAGUGUUGUCAUGGGGAAGAUAACUGAUAACUAUUGGUUGAUUUGACUUCCCUAGGAAAAUAAAGUGAUUAGCCAUAACCGACAAUGGCUGACUUUAAAAUCAACUGUGAAGCUACAUAUAAACAGCUAACAAAAUUCAGCAUAUUGCUAAGUCAAUGAGAGUAAAGUACCUAAGGAUAAGAACAUUUCCAAACUGUUUACUUCUGAAUGUAAUCUAUUCAUUUCAGUUUCUUUAAUAGACUUUAAAGGGCUAGCUAAGUGGGUUCUCACAAGUACUAGAGGCAUCACUCACAUUCAGUGACUGUCUUUCUGCUACCCUUAUUUUCAACAGGCUUCUUAGAUAUAUAUAGAGAGAAGGCCUAGAAAUAGGCCUUCUCAAUUUGAAUAAACUCAAUUAUCCAGGGUUUUUUUUUUUCCCAUACUUGCCAUUGCAUAACCUCCCAACAACACCUGGUUUACUCUUGUAUUUAGAGUGCUGAUGAAUCUUAGAGAUGUAUGUUUUCAUGUAUCCACCUUCAUUUGUAAAUUUUUAGGGUGCAAAACACACAAAGCAAACUAAAACGUUCUAAAGAGCACACGCAUUCCCUCGUGCACAGUGCAGAAACUUUACCUACUGAUACAUGUGUGGUUUGGUUCCCUGGUGAUUUCAGAAGGCUCCUCCAUCCCCAAAUCGGGUGGAGCCUUUCUUCCCACGUUAAUAAACAAAGUUUGAACCAAUGCCAAUGGUUUUGAGAAAGUUUAUUUUUUAAUUAAACAGUUUAUUUUGAGAGAAUUGUAGAUUCAUGUUCAGAUAGCAGAAAUAAUACAGAGCCUUUUUGUACCCUGCACCUAGCCUCCCCCAAUGGUAACAUCUUGCAUACAAUGUCACAACCAGGAA